ensembl:lncRNA
GAUAAAGUACAUAAUUUAUGAGUGAAAAUGUAAAUGAAAUAUGGAUCAUCUAUGAAAUCUUUUAAAUUGAGAGUUUGUGUGCUGUGGGGGAAAUGAAGAGAUUUUUCACUGGAAUGCACAUCAGUAGGACAAAACUGUAUUCUGAUUCAGUGCAUCUUUUCUUGUGCAAUAAAUAUGUGUGUGUUUAGAUAGGGGUUUUACGUGGAUAUGUUGUUCACUCAUUGACAUUGUCGUUUCCCCCCGCGAGCGAGGCGUGGGAGUGGGAACGCCCCGGUGUUUUUUUCCGAGCUCUCGUACACUUUGUAUUCAGAGACAGAGGGGUCGCGCAGCCGCACUCACGUUCCACGCAAUAGGGCAAGGUACAAAGACGUCACUUUGUUGUGGUUCUUCGAAGCGUUCGGUGGUAAGGACAUUUCUUUCAUUUUGCAUUUAGAGUGCCUUAUAUUUAUGCCUGUUUUUAUAAUGUUUCAUUUAACAUGUCAUACGUGUCAUUUUCAGUGGCCUUAUUGUGGCUGUGAAGCGAAUUAGCGAAUUAGAGGAAAACAUGUAUACUGGCCUACUGGCCUUUAUAGAAAACGGGCAACAUUGCGAACAAUUACCAGACAGGUUUUAAACAGGGAUGAGACUGGUGUCAGAACUAAACAGGAUAAUAUCCAUCAUGUCUUAAGGCCCAACCUAAGGUUAACCGAUUCUUUACCAUUUACAGUCACAUUUCCCAACAUUGUUUAGAUUUUAAAUAAAAAACGAUCAGGCCAAAUAAAAGCCAAGUGCACAGGUCGUCACCGAAGCGUUUCUUCUUCAUGCCUUAGGUUUUUACUUUAUAUGUAGAGAAAUACAAACUGCAAACAAAACAUCAUUUAUGUUAUCCUGACAAUCCUAAACGGUGUUUCAAGCCCCCUUUUUCUUUUCUUUUUUCUGGCAUAGCAGUUCGAGACAGGGGGUUUAGCUGGGUUAUGUUUCAGUCUUCAUGUGGAGCAGCAUCUAUAACUUCUCAGUACCCUCUCUGAUGGCUUUGUGGAUGUGCAUUCCAGGUGCUUUCUUUCCCUUGUUAACUGAAGCAGCUAUGUGUUAUAUUUGUGUCUGCUUAACUGAUUACUUUUGUCAUAGUUUUGAGAUAUAAAAGUGCUAUUAUUUAACCUCAUGGUGGCUAAUGUUACAUUAUGUUAAUCUCAGAACACGUUGUGUUUUUCCCCCCUUUUUUUUUUUAUCGAUUUGUUUUCUUUUGUUUUUCAUAUGCAUGGUUAAACGUUGCAGAACGGCCAAAGCUGGCCUGGUAGGAAGACUUGCACUUUCUCUAUCUUUGUACUAUGCACUGCCCUAUUGAUUCUAAACCCAAUAAUAUAUUACUUGAACCCAUCUAUAAAAAGAAAAAAAAAUCUCCUUAAACGUUCACUUUGUGUGUAUGUAAAUAACACAAAAUGGUAUCAACUCUUGAAAAAGACAAAAAAAAAAGUUUGUGGCAAAAAGAGCAUCCAUUCUGAUGCCAUGGUUACUCCAGCAGAUGACUUCAGAACAAUCUGUCCCCCCCGACCAUCUGUUCUCGUGGCUUUGCCAUUCAAGCUUGGAGUGUCAUUAACAGAAAUAAACGUUGUGUUCUCUGCUCUCUCUAUCUAUCUCUCGUCUGGAUGCAUAGACUGAAAAUUAAAUAAUGAAAUUGUAAAAAAAAAGAAGAAAAAAAUGGCUUGUUAAAAAGAUCAUACAAUUACCUCUGAUUAGUUGUUAGCGUAAAAUGUUUCUUUCUCUGAAUGAAAGGAGUGCUUUUUAUUUUCUUACUUAGGUUACAUUGGUGGCGGAAGAAGUCUGUACGAAAACCAGUUCUUUGCUGACACGAGUUCCAUUUGUUAUAAAUGAAUUCUAUUAAAAAAUGUCAGUGUUAUGCAUCGGCGUUUCACUUGUUUCCCUCCACCUCACUUUGACUUGAAAAGACUGAUGAAGCUAUUUUACCCCCUACUGGUCUGGGUCCAACAUAUUAUCCACAGUUCUCUCAUGAAAGGGGAAAUUGAGCCUCACCACAUUUGAAUAGAUUUCCAUCGCUCUGGUUUUUCUGUCACUGAUGUCAGCCACAAUGAAUCAUCGGGGGAACCUUUGACGAAUGAAGUGCGAUGUUUUCGAAGCUGC